ACGGCAGGUCGAUCUAUCGUGUUUCGCCAUUGGCGUGAUAAGGAAAGUCCGAACAGCACAGAGCAGUUUGACAGCUAACGGCUGUCUCGUUUAGAACGAGAGAAAGUGCCACAGAAAAUUGUCUCGAUUUUUUCGAGAGUGAAAAUAUAAGUUUGCAGUAAUGCAUUCUUCAAGGUAAACCUCAAACGCUGAAACAUCAUGUAAACCAACGUUCAUAUAGGGUGGCUCGCCUAAUGUUGGAGGGUAGAUGGAUAGAUUUCGAUAGUGAUAUCGAAACCAGAUAAAUGAUAGAGUAGAAACAGAAUUCGGCUUAUGAGCCUGCGUUUUU
rnacentral:RNase_P_RNA from 1 species